rnacentral:lncRNA from 1 species
CUUCACCCCCAACAAAACCACCAAAAGCUUUCAUUAGUAAGAACCCUCCUGCCUGGAAGGUAGCAGAGUUGAUCUGAAGUGGAUUUCAUGCGAGGUGGCUGUACUUUGCCCUUUUCCUGCUGUGCACGGUUUCAGGGUCAUGAGAUGCAGCGAAGUCUCAGUGUUUUCCGCCAUUGACUGUCCCUGCAAUUAGCCAUUAUGCUACUGUGUGUGAAAUACUUUACACCCGUGUUCUGCUACACUUAAGAAUUGUCUUAGCCCWUGCAAAAUACCUGUGCAAGUGCAAAUGGUCUGUGGAAGAUAAGAGCAAAUGACUCCUGGCCACCAGGAUCAGAACAAGGCUAAUGGCAGUCAAACAGAAACAAGGCUGAUACUAACUUAAGUGAAACACUCUUCACUACAGGGUAGUGAAGGAGGAUUUGUGUGUGCCCCUUGUCCAUCAGUGACUGUGUCAAGAUGAGCGUCAUUUUUACCCCAAUGAAGGAAGGACUAAGCUGUUCAACUGACGGAAAAUCAGGCUGAGCAGUGGCUGGCAUCACUCCAGCGCUGGUUCAAAGUGAACUCCAUUCAGGCUGUUUCACACUCUCUUUUUAUUAAGAGAGCUCAAUUUGCUGUGCUUAAAUCAUGGGACCCAAACCAGGAAAGAAAACAGAGGUUAUUUGAAGUCUGAACAUAACCAAAGUAAUUGGAAAGCACCCCUCUAAGCAAGGAAGACCAGGUGAGUGUCUCUGCUCAGCCUCGUGUAAUUUAGUCAUCUGUGCUGGCUGCCAAAAAGUGGAUUUCAUCACCUCCUUGUUAGGAAAACGCAUCUUCUCUGCGCAGCAUGUAAGACCGCCUUUGAGCUGCUACACAGAGGAACGGUCCCCUAGGGGAAGUCAUCCUGGUCAGCAGCACAGAAGGGCAGGCACAGACACAGAGCAGCGUGUAACAGCUGCAUGCAACUGCGCUCGCAGCACUGUGCGCUUUGAGCUGGACUUGGGAGUGAAGCCUGCCUGGAAGUUGUGGUGGUCAUCCUGGCCUCUGGAAGCCGCUCCAGCUCUGCACAUCCAGAGUUUGAGGUCAUGGAGCAGAUGAAGCCUAGAAGGUGCUAUUGCGUUCACGAGCGAUGUACUUUUCUUGCAACUGGUCAAUAAAUGCAGU